CUGAUGAUCUGAGGUGGAGCUGAGGUGGUGAUGCUAGUGCUGGGGUGCAGCUGCAAAUACAGAUUAUCAUUAGCAGAGAGGCUUGACUGCACAGAGACCAUAAUAAAUCAAUUGCUUGCAGACUCAUAUCAAAACCCUGUCAGUGAGUGGCAAGUGAAAACAAGCUCAGGGCUCCAACUGAUUCUGCAUUAUGGAGGGGAAACCACCAACAACAACCACAAAACAUUCACAUGGUUUCUUGCUUAGGCAGGAAUCUGAGCUUCAGAAGUAGGCUGAUUCCAGCUACCAGCUGUCAUCAUAUGAGAAGCUCCUGUGAGCUGGUCCACCUUAUAAGAGAUGAGUUAUCUUUUGUUUUCACUAACCUAUAUUUGUAGAGUCUGUUAGUGCUUACCCAUCUUUACCCUUUAUCUGGUUUUCCAUGGCCUCAUGUGAUGUGUUAGCCAGACAGGUCAAGGUUUAAAUGUACUUUUUGCUGUGAAAGUUAAUUGUUAAUUGAAAAUUGAUUGAUUUUUCUAAGAAUGAGCCUCUAAACAUGGCCAAAGCUCAGUGAUACUGACCAACCCACCACCUCCUUGCCAAACCAAUGUAAAACAUCAAGCAGAUAAAGAGAGAGACAAAGCUGAAAGACCAAUGGAUACAUGGGCAGCAAGGGGAAGGAUGUUAGAAUAAAGUAUUUCUGGAAAAAGGUGGAGCUCAAUAAUAUGCUAAGGAUGGGAUUCAUUUGUUCAACAAUGUAUUGAGCUCAUGUGAUGGGCCAGGCUCUGUGCUGGGUUCUGGAAUCCUUCCAUCAAAGCCUCCCGUUCAUUUGGGGGAUAUUGACCCAAAACAAUUCUUCUUAAAAGGGGUUAAAACUGUGAUCCCUGGAGGAGAAAUGGAGCAUACUUUGAGAGCAUUUAAACUGGGACAAUUGACUUGAUCAAGGUGUGAAAGAAGGCCUCUCUAAGAACGUGGUAUUUGAGACUCACAACCAGGUUUGGGAAGCCCUAGCCCAUGUCAGAUGGGCCUGGACUUUGCACAGUCUGGAGUCUGUUAAAGUUCUGGGGCCCUUGAUAGAAUAUUUUGUCCACAAAUAUUUGGUGUUCAGAAUAAUGCUGUGAGAUGGAAUACUACUCAUCCAUAAAAAAGAACAAAACUUUGCCAUUUGCAGCGACAUGGAUGGACUUGGAGGGCAUUAUGUUAAGUGAAAUAAGUCAGACAGAGAAAGACAAACACUGUAUGAUAUCACUUAUACGUGGAAUCUAAGAAUACAACAAAUUAGUGAAUUUAACAAAGAAAGAAGCACAUUCACAGAUAUAGAGAACGAACUAGCGGUUACCAGUGGGGAGGGGCAAUAAAGGGGUGGAGGAGUGAGAGGUACAAACUAUUGGGUGUAAGAUAGGCUCAAGGAUGUAUUGUACAACAUGGGGAAUAUAGCUAGUAUUUUGUAAUAACUGUAA